AAAUUGAAGAGUUUGAUCAUGGCUCAGAUUGAACGCUGGCGGCAGGCCUAACACAUGCAAGUCGGACGGUAGCACAGAGAGCUUGCUCUUGGGUGACGAGUGGCGGACGGGUGAGUAAUAUCUGGGGAUCUGCCCGAUAGAGGGGGAUAACCACUGGAAACGGUGGCUAAUACCGCAUAACGUCGCAAGACCAAAGAGGGGGACCUUCGGGCCUCUCACUAUCGGAUGAGCCCAGAUGGGAUUAGCUAGUAGGCGGGGUAAUGGCCCACCUAGGCGACGAUCCCUAGCUGGUCUGAGAGGAUGACCAGCCACACUGGAACUGAGACACGGUCCAGACUCCUACGG
rnacentral:rRNA from 1 species